UGAUCAGUGGUGUGUGCCAUCAAGGACCUUCCAUUUGUCCACCAUGUCAUCCUCCGAGCUGACUCUACCCCUGGGCUGAGAGCAAGACGGCGGCAGCAACCCCAGCAUAGCUCCCAGACGUGGCCAGGCUGUGUUAUUGGCAUGACUUCUGAGCUGCGGUUGAAGAACAGGACAAAGACAAGUCUUCUAGGUGCCGGGAUGCAGCACAGCUUACCUGGGACCGAACUGGGAGAACAGGUCUCAGCACGAGGAGGCAACGAGUCUAACGGUGGCCUGAACUGUACCUUGUAUCUGCUACUCUCGCCUCCCUUCUCUGGCUUAGUGCUUUGGAAUGCCCCAGCUCUCCAAUGGUCCAUGGGUAGACGGAAUCCCUCUUGGAGGAAAGAAGGUGAGAUCAUGAGCCCAGAUCCCCUGUGGCCCCUGAGGCCACAUGCCUCCUCCCUCCUGUCCCCCAGGGACAGCGGCUCUUCCGGAGACCCUUCCAGGCAGUCCUUUUCCAUCUCACCACUUCAAUAAAAACUCAGCUGAGAACCCUUGAACCUUCACCUAAUGUUGCUGCCCAGGGCAGACUGUCCAAGCCUUUGGGAAGCUCCGGGGAAGUCACAUCAAGAGCACCCAAGCCCUUACAUUUGCUGAUUUUACUUCUGGGAACCAAGCUUAGGAAAAUCAUUCAAACUGCAGAAAACGCUGAUGCACUAAGGUGUUCACUGUGGCAUUUGGUGUAACAGCGCCAGGGAAGCGAUCCGAGUGUAAUUCAGCAGUGGGAGAAUAGGGUGUGCGCACUCUGUAAAGUACAGCCGCCAACUCUGAUGCUUAUAAAGAUCAGAGCUCCUCAGGAAAAAUGCUUAUGUGAAUGUGUAGGUGAAAACUGCAAGAUA